GUAGCAGGAAGACAAGAAUAGAGAAGAAAGGAAGAUUAUAAAUCCGUUUCAUUCCUUGGCCGUCUUCAUUGUGCCUCUCCUAUCUUUGCUUUCCCAUUCCAUUUCCUUUCCUUUUGCUUUUCUGCGGCAUUUCGUCGAGCAGAAACCAUGAUCAGAUUGUUUAAAGUGAAAGAAAAGCAAAAGGAAACAGCUGAAAACGCAAAGGAGAAUGGUCUCGUAAAGAAGCAAAGUGCAGGAGAAUUGCGUCUUCAUAGAGAUAUAAGUGAGUUGAACAUGCCAGAAGAAUGCAAGAUUUCAUUCCCCAAUGGAAAGGAUGAUUUGAUGGACUUUGAGAUUACCAUUACACCUUAUCGGGGAUAUUAUAUGGGUGUUGUGAACUCAAAUCCUGCAUUUCUUCAUGCAUGAACCUAAUCAUGAGGACCCCUUGAAUCAAGAAGCAGCUGAUCUUUUGAGGGACAAUCCAAAAUUGUUUGGUUUGAACGUGAGAAAAUUGAUCGAGGGAAACAUAUGGGUGGGAGGGGCCCAUUUUCCUGGGUGCAAAACGGGUGACUUCUACUGAUUUGGUUUAUCUAGGGUUUUGCUUCUUCGUGGUCCAACCAUGGUUGUAUGAGGUUGAAGGAACCUAACAUCGACUUAGAAGCGGGAGCUGUUGCUGAACCGAAAUCAAAUUCAUCACAGACAAAAAUCACCCUAAAGAUAGGGAACUUCAGAUUGAUAAAAGAGAUUGGGAAGCUAUGUUCAUGAAGGUUGACGACAAAGCAUCGCCGAACACACAAGCUUUUUGUAGGCACAAAUUAAGGAAAGUGACAAGAAGAAGAAAUCGUUUAUGUGAUGAGGC